UACGUAGGGGGCGAGCGUUGUCCGGAAUCAUUGGGCGUAAAGCGCGUGUAGGCGGCCCGGUAAGUCCGCUGUGAAAGUCCAGGGCUCAACCCUGGGAUGCCGGUGGAUACUGUCGGGCUCGAGUCCGGAAGAGGCGAGUGGAAUUCCUGGUGUAGCGGUGAAAUGCGCAGAUAUCAGGAGGAACACCAGUGGCGAAGGCAGCUCGCUGGGACGUGACUGACGCUGAGACGCGAAAGCGUGGGGAGCAAACAGG
rnacentral:rRNA from 1 species